rnacentral:rRNA from 1 species
CCUACGGGAGACAGCAGUGAGGAAUAUUGGUCAAUGGGCGUAAGCCUGAACCAGCCAAGUCGCGUGAGGGAUGAAGGUUCUAUGGAUCGUAAACCUCUUUUAUCAGGGAAUAAAGUGUGGGACGUGUCCUGGUUUGUAUGUACCUUAUGAAUAAGGAUCGGCGAACUCCGUGCCAGCAGCCGCGGUAAUACGGAGGAUCCGAGCGUUAUCCGGAUUUAUUGGGUUUAAAGGGUGCGUAGGCGGCCUUGUAAGGAAGCGGGGAAAGUCGGUGGCUCAACCAUAGAAUCGCCGUUGAAACUGGGGGGCUUGAGUAUGUGUGAGGUAGGCGGAAUGCGUGGUGUAGCGGUGAAAUGCUUAGAUAUCACGCAGAACCCCGAUUGCGAAGGCAGCCUGCCAAGCCAUGACUGACGCUGAUGCACGAAAGCGUGGGGAUCAAACAGGAUUAGAUACCCGAGUAGUC